rnacentral:rRNA from 1 species
UACGAAGGGGGCUAGCGUUGCUCGGAAUUACUGGGCGUAAAGCGCACGUAGGCGGAUUGUUAAGUCGGGGGUGAAAUCCUGGAGCUCAACUCCAGAACUGCCUUCGAUACUGGCGAUCUCGAGUUCGGGAGAGGUGAGUGGAACUGCGAGUGUAGAGGUGAAAUUCGUAGAUAUUCGCAAGAACACCAGUGGCGAAGGCGGCUCACUGGCCCGAUACUGACGCUCAGGCACGAAAGCGUGGGGAGCAAACAGG